CUGCCUGCAGUUUGUCCAACAGAGCCCUCUCGUCGGCCGGGAGGCCAGGAACGCCCUUCGUCCAGGCGCUGGAGAAGCUCUCCAUCUGUGCAGCAUCCUCUUGAGAAGAGUCAGCUGGGGCUCCCAUCAUGAAAGGAGCUUCUGAGCCAGCAAGACAGCAAACACCUCUGAUGGUGCCCGGGACAACAAUGUGUUCGGUGACUGGAAAUGCCGACGAAUGACUGAAUGGAUGACCUUCUUAGACAGCCAGACUUCCCGUUGCUGAGAUCUCCGACACUUUCUGAAAAGCCCUCGAGGCUGUGAGCAGCCCUCUCACACUGAGUUGAACACAGAGGACUUCAAAGAUCCUGAGGACCUAGAAGAAGGUGGAGCCACAAGAUGGAAGGAGCCUGGGGCCCCCAGCUGGAGCAGAGCCGUUCCCGUAACUGACCACGAUGCACUACUGCAUGAUGGAAAGAUCCCUGACAGAUACGGAGGCAUUUAUGCACUAAGCAUGUUCCAAGGAGGCGCCUUAGAAGGGGGCAUGGUCAUCAUACCUUCCUUUGUCACCCACUGUCUGAAUGCCCAUCCCAUGGCACUUGUCACCAGGGAUACAGCGGUGAGAUGGUCCUCGUGCUCAUGGAGCUUACAGAGCCUGGCAGGCCAGCCCCUGAAGUCUGGAGGGCUUCUCGGCUUCCCAGUCUACAUCAUCAUGGAAGGGGCCCCUUAAAAGGAAGAUACUGCAGCUUGCAACUCUGCAGAUACCAGCAGAGGAAGAAAAACAUGGGAGACUGCUGAUAACCUAACGUGGAGAAUUAAACUCCAACUAGACAAAGGCAAGGGUGGAAUCUUAACAUGGAGUGGCCUGGCUCUGCAGGGAGGUCACCUGGGCUGGCUGGAUUUCAACCCAAUAACACGGCAGAAGUUAUGACCCAGGUUUUGUUGAGGGUGAGCCUUCUAAUCUCAGGAAUUCCAAAGCCAAGCAUGUGUGAAACCCUGCCGCAUUGCAUUUUUUACCGUCUUCCUGGAAGCCUUCCUUGAUGCCUGCAGGCUGGAUAGUAGCGCCUCCUCCGUGAUCCCACCAAGCCCUGGAUGUUCCUCUCUCUACUCACUUAACCCAUCGGAUUAUCCUGAGGUUUAUACAUUCUACCAGACUGUCCACUCCCGGAGCAUAAACAGCACGUUAUAAAACUUUCAGUAUUUAGCAAACCAAAACCACACAGUAGCCAUGGGCACCAAUUCAUUUGUUGAGUUGGGCAAACAGUGAAAGUUGACAGAGAAGAUAGCGAGUGUGAAAAGAAGACCAGAGGGAUCUCUGCUCAUAGCGUAAGGCGCCACUCGAUGGAGUUCAGGCCAUUCUCCAUGGGCAGAGAGAUGUUGCAGCGCCCAAUGGUGGGGGUGAUGGUGCCCGCUAGGACGUGGGGCUCGCUGUGGAAGCUGACGCCCAUCCCAUUGGCGUACAUCACCCGCAGGGUACCGUUGUUGCAGAGCUGGUAGCUGUUCCGCACUUGAUCUGGAGAAAUGUCAGCUCCACUGCAAAUCAAGUCUAGGAUUCUUUGAGAAAACAAAGAGAAAAAGCAACCUUCCUGCCCCUCAUGCAUUUGCUGCUGACUCCACUGUGAUGCCAUCUCCACUCCAGAGGAAUCUGAAGAGACUCAACUAGCACGAGGGAGAACGAGCCAGUGGGUGCUGAUAACGUGUGUGUCUUCCCAAAUGGAAUCUAUGCUAGUCAAUCAAUCAGACUUCUGACCUUUUCCUUUAUCGAAAAGUUCCAGGCAGGAAAUGUGAGUCGGAGACUCCUUUUAUAGCUACGAUGCUUCCUGAUUAUUUGGGCAGAGGAGUCCAGCUGGGCUGGCUUUUGGGGUAGUGCGCACCUGUCAGUCACGACUGCAGCCAUCGUGCAAAAUCUACAUCAUUAAUCAUCUGGUAGAGCAGAAAUAGAGUCAUGGGAACAGGCUCUGUCGUGGGAUAAAUAGUCCAGCAAUGACACCAUUUAUCUACCGAGAGGACACGUUUAUCCUCGGCCAAUGGGCUAGCCCACUGACGUUAUAUCUAUCUUCUUCAUUACCUGCACAAUUCCUUUUCUUGCCAGUCUGUGCACUUGUCCUGGACUGUAUGUCAUGUCGAACAGCAAGAGUAACCACGAGGUGGUCAGAAACCUUUGAGGUCUUGGCAAGAGACUGCUAAAGGGCUCUGUGACUGUAACAACCCACUCAUCACACAAACGCUUGGAAGAAAGGGAGAAUCAGAAUGGGACCAAAAAAAAGGUGGGCUCAAGAGACUAAAACCACCUUUGAGAAGGUAACUGUGUGUGUUGGGUUGGUAGGGAGUGCUGGUGAUGGAGAGGUGGGGGCAGAGUACAGAGGGAUGAAAACCGACAUUUUCACAUAAAUAAAUAUGUAGACAUUUCCAAAUAUCCAGCCAUUUGGUUUGGUAUCGAUGACAUUCUCCUGCAUCUGAUUAAGUCCUUUUCUACAAGACUGACCUCUUGUAGAGUUAGUUUGCUAUGGACUAAAACAGCAAGCUGAGGGGUGGGAGGUCUCUGGAAGUCCUCCCAGGCUUGGUAACUCACACCUGCCUCUGGCCUUGGCUCAGUCUCGGGGUGAGGUGUGGUGGUAGGUGAGGGGCUUACCUUGUACCACUGUGUAGGAGGCCUCCACAGAAGACAGGUUGGUAAUGACAGUGACAUCGUCGUCACGGUUGGAGUUCUCAAUGUCAAUGGUGAUGGAUUUCUCCAUUUCCCGGUGUAGGCUGGUCACCACCCCCGUGGGGCGUGUCACAUUGGUUAGGCGGCCCUCGUGGUCAUAGCUGGAGAACAGACACACUGGUUAGAAACACAGUUCCUGGGACUGAAGGCUUCCCCAACACUCAGAACCACACAAGGGACAGACUCAUGGUGCCAGAGAAAGAGAAACGGGAAGGUGGGGUGGCCAGGUGGUACAGCAUGCUGGGGCUCCUCAUCACAAUCAUCAAAACUCCAGCCUGCCCUGAGAAACAGUGAUGCUUUUUUCUACUACCCACUGAUAGAUAGAUACACCUGAAAACAUACAUUACAUUUCACCUUAGGCAGGGGGUACUUAAUUAUGCUUUCCCAAGUUAGUUAGUUAGUGAGAACAGCAACUUUAUGC